rnacentral:rRNA from 1 species
UACGUAGGGGGCAAGCGUUGUCCGGAUUUAUUGGGCGUAAAGAGCGUGUAGGCGGCCUGACAGGUCUGCUGUGAAAACUCGAGGCUCAACCUCGAGAUGUCGGCGGAAACCGUCUGGCUAGAGUCCGGAAGAGGAGAGUGGAAUUCCUGGUGUAGCGGUGAAAUGCGUAGAGAUCAGGAAGAACACCCGUGGCGAAGGCGGCUCUCUGGGACGGUACUGACGCUGAGACGCGUAAGCGUGGGGAGCGAACAGG